CAGGCUUAACACAUGCAAGUCGAGGGGCAUCAGGAAGAAAGCUUGCUUUCUUUGCUGGCGACCGGCGCACGGGUGAGUAACACGUAUCCAACCUGCCCUUUACUCGGGGAUAGCCUUUCGAAAGAAAGAUUAAUACCCGAUAGUAUAAUGAUUCCGCAUGGUUUCAUUAUUAAAGGAUUCCGGUAAAGGAUGGGGAUGCGUUCCAUUAGGUUGUUGGUGAGGUAACGGCCCACCAAGCCUUCGAUGGAUAGGGGUUCUGAGAGGAAGGUCCCCCACAUUGGAACUGAGACACGGUCCAAACUCCUACGGGAGGCAGCAGUGGGGAAUAUUGGUCAAUGGGCGCUAGCCUGAACCAGCCAAGUAGCGUGAAGGAUGAAGGCUCUAUGGGUCGUAAACUUCUUUUAUAUAAGAAUAAAGUGCAGUAUGUAUACUGUUUUGUAUGUAUUAUAUGAAUAAGGAUCGGCUAACUCCGUGCCAGCAGCCGCGGUAAUACGGAGGAUCCGAGCGUUAUCCGGAUUUAUUGGGUUUAAAGGGAGCGUAGGUGGACUGGUAAGUCAGUUGUGAAAGUUUGCGGCUCAACCGUAAAAUUGCAGUUGAUACUGUCAGUCUUGAGUACAGUAGAGGUGGGCGGAAUUCGUGGUGUAGCGGUGAAAUGCUUAGAUAUCACGAAGAACUCCGAUUGCGAAGGCAGCUCACUGGACUGCAACUGACACUGAUGCUCGAAAGUGUGGGUAUCAAACAGGAUUAGAUACCCUGGUAGUCCACACAGUAAACGAUGAAUACUCGCUGUUUGCGAUAUACAGUAAGCGGCCAAGCGAAAGCAUUAAGUAUUCCACCUGGGGAGUACGCCGGCAACGGUGAAACUCAAAGGAAUUGACGGGGGCCCGCACAAGCGGAGGAACAUGUGGUUUAAUUCGAUGAUACGCGAGGAACCUUACCCGGGCUUAAAUUGCAGUGGAAUGAUGUGGAAACAUGUCAGUGGGCAAUCACCGCUGUGAAGGUGCUGCAUGGUUGUCGUCAGCUCGUGCCGUGAGGUGUCGGCUUAAGUGCCAUAACGAGCGCAACCCUUAUCUUCAGUUACUAACAGGUCAUGCUGAGGACUCUGGAGAGACUGCCGUCGUAAGAUGUGAGGAAGGUGGGGAUGACGUCAAAUCAGCACGGCCCUUACGUCCGGGGCUACACACGUGUUACAAUGGGGGGUACAGAAGGCAGCUAGCGGGUGACCGUAUGCUAAUCCCAAAAGCCUCUCUCAGUUCGGAUCGAAGUCUGCAACCCGACUUCGUGAAGCUGGAUUCGCUAGUAAUCGCGCAUCAGCCACGGCGCGGUGAAUACGUUCCCGGGCCUUGUACACACCGCCCGUCAAGCCAUGGGAGCCGGGGGUACCUGAAGUACGUAACCGCAAGGAUCGUCCUAGGGUAAAACUGGUGACUGGGGCUA
rnacentral:rRNA from 1 species